rnacentral:rRNA from 1 species
CCUACGGGAGGCAGCAGUGAGGAAUAUUGGUCAAUGGACGCAAGUCUGAACCAGCCAUGCCGCGUGCAGGAUGGCGGCUCUAUGAGUUGUAAACUGCUUUUGUACGAGGGUAAACCCCGAUACGUGUAUCGUGUUGAAAUUAUCGUACGAAUAAGGAUCGGCUAACUCCGUGCCAGAAGCCGCGGUAAUACGGAGGAUCCGGCCGUUAUCCGGAUUUAUUGGGUUUAAAGGGUGCGUAGGCGGUUUGAUAAGUUAGAGGUGAAAUGUCGGGGCUCAACCCCGGAACUGCCUCUAAUACUGUUGGACUAGAGAAUAGUUGCGGUAGGCGGAAUGUAUGGUGUAGCGGUGAAAUGCUUAGAGAUCAUACAGAACACCGAUUGCGAAGGCAGCUUACCAAACUAUAUCUGACGUUGAGGCACGAAAGCGUGGGUAGCAAACAGGAUUAGAUACCCGUGUAGUC